rnacentral:rRNA from 1 species
UGCUUUUAGAAAUAAAUAUUAAAAGUAGAUCUGCCCAGUGAAUUUAGCAAUAGCGAAUUUAUUUUUCAACGGCCGCGGUAUCCCUGACCGUGCUAAGGUAGCACAAUCAUGAGCCUCCUAAUUAGAGGAUAGAAUGAAUGAAUUAACAAGAAAUAUACUGUCUCUUUUAUAAUGAUCGAAAUUUAGAUUUAGGUGAAAACUCCUAUAUUUUUAAUACAGACAAAAAGACCCUAUAAGCUCUUAUCUUAAUAUACUAUUAAUAAAAACAUAUUUAAUUGGGGCGAUUUUAAGUAAUAAACACUUAUUAAACAAAGAGCAAUAGCUCACAAAAUCUAUCUAUAAAGCAAAUAAGUAAGUUACUGUAGGGAUAACAGACUAAUACUUCUUGAGAGCACAAAUCAACAGAAGUGCUUAGUACCUCGAUGUUGGCUUAAGGAUCCCAAUUUAUGCAACCGUAAAAAAGGGGGGUUUGUUCAACCUUUAAUUCCUU